GACGAACGCUGGCGGCGUGCUUAACACAUGCAAGUCGAACGGUGAAGCGCCUUCCUUUUUGGUGGGUGUGGAUGAGUGGCGAACGGGUGAGUAACACGUGAGUAACCUGCCCCCUUCUUCUGGAUAACCGCAUGAAAGUGUGGCUAAUACGGGAUAUUCUGGGUCUGUCGCAUGAUGGGUCUGGGAAAGAUAUUGUUUCGGUGGGGGAUGGGCUCGCGGCCUAUCAGCUUGUUGGUGGGGUGAUGGCCUACCAAGGCGGUGACGGGUAGCCGGCCUGAGAGGGUGGACGGUCACACUGGGACUGAGACACGGCCCAGACUCCUACGGGAGGCAGCAGUGGGGAAUAUUGCACAAUGGGCGCAAGGCUGAUGCAGCGACGCCGCGGGAGGGAUGGAGGCCUUCGGGUUGUGAACCUCUUUCGCCAGUGAAGUAGGCCUGCCUCGUUUGUGGGUGGGUUGACGGUAGCUGGAUAAGAAGCGCCGGCUAACUACGUG
rnacentral:rRNA from 1 species